AUUGAACGCUGGCGGCAUGCCUUACACAUGCAAGUCGAACGGUAACGGGCCUUCGGGUGCCGACGAGUGGCGAACGGGUGAGUAAUGUAUCGGAACGUACCUUUCAGUGGGGGAUAACGUAGCGAAAGUUACGCUAAUACCGCAUAUUCUGUGAGCAGGAAAGCAGGGGAUCGCAAGACCUUGCGCUGAUUGAGCGGCCGAUAUCAGAUUAGCUAGUUGGUGAGGUAAAGGCUCACCAAGGCGACGAUCUGUAGCGGGUCUGAGAGGAUGAUCGGCCACACUGGAACUGAGACACGGUCCAGACUCCUACGGGAGGCAGCAGUGGGGAAUUUUGGACAAUGGGGGCAACCCUGAUCCAGCCAUGCCGCCUGAGUGAAGAAGGCCUUCGGGUUGUAAAGCUCUUUCGGCCGGGAAGAAAUCGUAUCAGCUAAUACCUGGUGCGGAUGACGGUACCGCCAUAAGAAGCACCGGCUAACUACGUGCCAGCCGCCGCGGUAAAAC
rnacentral:rRNA from 1 species